UACGGAGGAUGCGAGCGUUAUCCGGAUUUAUUGGGUUUAAAGGGUGCGUAGGCGGCGCUUCAGGUCAGCGGUGAAAUACCGGGGCUCAACCCCGGCGAGCCGUUGAAACUGGCGGGCUGGAGUUGGAGAGAAGUACGCGGAAUGCGCGGUGUAGCGGUGAAAUGCUUAGAUAUCGCGCAGAACCCCGAUUGCGAAGGCAGCAUACCGGUGCACAACUGACGCUCAGGCACGAAAGCGUGGGUAUCGAACAGG
rnacentral:rRNA from 1 species